rnacentral:rRNA from 1 species
AGGACGAACGCUGGCGGCGUGCUUAACACAUGCAAGUCGAGCGGUAAGGCCCUUUCGGGGGUACACGAGCGGCGAACGGGUGAGUAACACGUGAGCAAUCUGCCCUUCACUUCGGGAUAAGCCUCGGAAACGGGGUCUAAUACCGGAUAUGACCGCGCUACGCAUGUGGUGUGGUGGAAAGUUCUGGCGGUGGAGGAUGAGCUCGCGGCCUAUCAGCUUGUUGGUGGGGUAAUGGCCUACCAAGGCUUCGACGGGUAGCCGGCCUGAGAGGGUGACCGGCCACACUGGGACUGAGACACGGCCCAGACUCCUACGGGAGGCAGCAGUGGGAAUAUGGACAAUGGGCAAAGCCUGAUCCAGCAACGCCGCGUGAGGGAUGACGGCCUUCGGGUGUAAACCUCUUUCAGCGCCGACGAAGCGAGAGUGACGGUAGGCGCAAGAAGAAGCACCGGCCAACUACGUGCCAAGCAGCCGAC